UACGGAGGGGGCUAGCGUUGUUCGGAAUUACUGGGCGUAAAGCGCGCGUAGGCGGCUUUGUAAGUUAGAGGUGAAAGCCCGGAGCUCAACUCCGGAAUUGCCUUUAAGACUGCAUCGCUAGAAUCAUGGAGAGGUUAGUGGAAUUCCGAGUGUAGAGGUGAAAUUCGUAGAUAUCGGGAGGAACAUCAGUGGCGAAGGCGGCUACCUGGCCCAAUACUGACACUCAGGUGCGACAGCGUGGGGAGCAAACAGG
rnacentral:rRNA from 1 species